rnacentral:rRNA from 1 species
AUUGAACGCUGGCGGCAGGCCUAACACAUGCAAGUCGAGCGGAUGAGGGGAGCUUGCUCCUGGAUUCAGCGGCGGACGGGUGAGUAAUGCCUAGGAAUCUGCCUGGUAGUGGGGGACAACGUUUCGAAAGGAACGCUAAUACCGCAUACGUCCUACGGGAGAAAGCAGGGGACCUUCGGGCCUUGCGCUAUCAGAUGAGCCUAGGUCGGAUUGUCUAGUUGGUGAGGUAAUGGCUCACCAAGGCGACGAUCCGUAACUGGUCUGAGAGGAUGAGUAUUCCUAGUGGAACUGAGACACGGUGCAGACUCCUACGGGAGGCAGCAGUGGGGAAUAUUGGACAAUGGGCGAAAGCCUGAUCCAGCCAUGCCGCGUGUGUGAAGAAGGUCUUCGGAUUGUAGAGCACUUUAAGUUGGGAGGAAGGGUUGUAGAUUAAUACUCUGCAAUUUUGACGUUACCGACAGAAUGAGCACCGGCUAACUCUGUGCCAGCCGCCGCCGUAACAC